rnacentral:rRNA from 1 species
UACGUAGGGGGCUAGCGUUGUCCGGAAUCAUUGGGCGUAAAGAGCGUGUAGGCGGCCCGGUAAGUCCGCUGUGAAAGUCGGGGGCUCAACCCUCGGAUGCCGGUGGAUACUGUCGGGCUCGAGUACGGAAGAGGCGAGUGGAAUUCCUGGUAUAGCGGUGAAAUGCGCAGAUAUCAGGAGGAACACCUAUUGCGAAGGCAGCUCGCUGGGACGUUACUGACGCUGAGACGCGAAAGCGUGGGGAGCAAACAGG